rnacentral:rRNA from 1 species
CGCCUGUUUAUCAAAAACAUCUUUUCUUGUUAGUUUUUGAAGUAUGGCCUGCCCGCUGACUUUGGUGUUGAAGGGCCGCGGUAUUUUGACCGUGCAAAGGUAGCAUAGUCAUUAGUUCUUUAAUUGUGAUCUGGUAUGAAUGGCUUGACGAGGCAUGGGCUGUCUUAAUUUUAAAUUGCUUAUUGAAUUUGGUCUUUGAGUUAAAAUUCUUAGAUGUUUUUAUGGGACGAGAAGACCCUAUAGAGUUUGACAUUUAUUAUGGUCUAUUUCUGUUUGUGAGGGUUCACUGGGCCAUUUAGUAUGUUUUGUUGGGGUGAUGGGAGGGAUAUAAUUUAACCCCUCCUUUGUGUUGUUAUAUUUAUUUAUAUUUGUUUGAUCCAUUUAUUUUGAUUGUAAGAUUAAAUUACCUUAGGGAUAACAGCGUAA